rnacentral:rRNA from 1 species
AUUGAACGCUGGCGGCAGGCCUAACACAUGCAAGUCGAGCGGAUGAAGGGAGCUUGCUCCUGGAUUCAGCGGCGGACGGGUGAGUAAUUCCUAGGAAUCUGCCUGGUAGUGGGGGAUAACGUCCGGAAACGGGCGCUAAUACCGCAUACGUCCUGAGGGAGAAAGUGGGGGAUCUUCGGACCUCACGCUAUCGGAUGAGCCUAGGUCGGAUUAGCUAGUUGGUGGGGUAAAGGCCUACCAAGGCGACGAUCCGUAACUGGUCUGAGAGGAUGAUCAGUCACACUGGAACUGAGACACGGUCCAGACUCCUACGGGAGGCAGCAGUGGGGAAUAUUGGACAAUGGGCGAAAGCCUGAUCCAGCCAUGCCGCGUGUGUGAAGAAGGUCUUCGGAUUGUAAAGCACUUUAAGUUGGGAGGAAGGGCAGUAAGUUAAUACCUUGCUGUUUUGACGUUACCAACAGAAUAAGCACCGGCUAACUUCGUG